rnacentral:rRNA from 1 species
GACGAACGCUGGCGGCGUGCUUAACACAUGCAAGUCGAACGAGUGGCGAACGGGUGAGUCACACGUGGGUGACCUGCCCUGCACUUCGGGAUAAGCCUGGGAAACUGGGUCUAAUACCGGAUAGUGUGGGAUGGGCCCGCGGCCUAUCAGCUUGUUGGUGGGGUAAUGGCUACCAAGGCUUGACGGGUAACCGGCCUGAGAGGGUGACCGGUCAAAUUGGGACUGAGAUACGGGCCAGACUCGUACGGGAGGCAGAAGUGGGGAAUUUUGCACAAUGGGCGCAAGCCUGAUGCAGCGACGCCGCGGGAGGGAUGAAGGCCUUCGGGUUGUAAACCUUUUUCGCUAAUGGUCGGGUAGUGGGUAAAGAAGCGCCGGCUAACUACGUGCCAGCAGCCGCGGUAAUAC